CUACCUACUUCUUUUGCAACCCACUCCCAUGGUGUGACGGGCGGUGUGUACAAGGCCCGGGAACGUAUUCACCGUAGCAUUCUGAUCUACGAUUACUAGCGAUUCCGACUUCAUGGAGUCGAGUUGCAGACUCCAAUCCGGACUACGACAUACUUUAUGAGGUCCGCUUGCUCUCGCGAGGUCGCUUCUCUUUGUAUAUGCCAUUGUAGCACGUGUGUAGCCCUGGUCGUAAGGGCCAUGAUGACUUGACGUCAUCCCCACCUUCCUCCAGUUUAUCACUGGCAGUCUCCUUUGAGUUCCCGGCCUAACCGCUGGCAACAAAGGAUAAGGGUUGCGCUCGUUGCGGGACUUAACCCAACAUUUCACAACACGAGCUGACGACAGCCAUGCAGCACCUGUCUCACAGUUCCCGAAGGCACCAAUCCAUCUCUGGAAAGUUCUGUGGAUGUCAAGACCAGGUAAGGUUCUUCGCGUUGCAUCGAAUUAAACCACAUGCUCCACCGCUUGUGCGGGCCCCCGUCAAUUCAUUUGAGUUUUAACCUUGCGGCCGUACUCCCCAGGCGGUCGAUUUAACGCGUUAGCUCCGGAAGCCACGCCUCAAGGGCACAACCUCCAAAUCGACAUCGUUUACAGCGUGGACUACCAGGGUAUCUAAUCCUGUUUGCUCCCCACGCUUUCGCACCUGAGCGUCAGUCUUUGUCCAGGGGGCCGCCUUCGCCACCGGUAUUCCUCCAGAUCUCUACGCAUUUCACCGCUACACCUGGAAUUCUACCCCCCUCUACAAGACUCUAGCCUGCCAGUUUCGAAUGCAGUUCCCAGGUUGAGCCCGGGGAUUUCACAUCCGACUUGACAGACCGCCUGCGUGCGCUUUACGCCCAGUAAUUCCGAUUAACGCUUGCACCCUCCGUAUUACCGCGGCUGCUGGCACGGAGUUAGCCGGUGCUUCUUCUGCGGGUAACGUCAAUCGACAAGGUUAUUAACCUCACCGCCUUCCUCCCCGCUGAAAGUGCUUUACAACCCGAAGGCCUUCUUCACACACGCGGCAUGGCUGCAUCAGGCUUGCGCCCAUUGUGCAAUAUUCCCCACUGCUGCCUCCCGUAGGAGUCUGGACCGUGUCUCAGUUCCAGUGUGGCUGGUCAUCCUCUCAGACCAGCUAGGGAUCGUCGCCUAGGUGAGCCGUUACCCCACCUACCAGCUAAUCCCAUCUGGGCACAUCUGAUGGCAUGAGGCCCGAAGGUCCCCCACUUUGGUCUUGCGACGUUAUGCGGUAUUAGCUACCGUUUCCAGUAGUUAUCCCCCUCCAUCAGGCAGUUUCCCAGACAUUACUCACCCGUCCGCCGCUCGUCACCCGAGAGCAAGCUCUCUGUGCUACCGCUCGACUGC
rnacentral:rRNA from 1 species